rnacentral:rRNA from 1 species
AUUGAACGCUGGCGGCGUGCUUAACACAUGCAAGUCGAGCGGUAACAGGCGUAGCAAUACGUGCUGACGAGCGGCGAACGGGUGCGUAAUACAUGGGAAUCUGCCUUUUAGUGGGGAAUAACCCGGCGAAAGCCGGGCUAAUGCCGCAUAAGAUCUACGGAUGAAAGCGGGGGAUCGUAAGACCUCGCGCUGAAAGAUGAGCCCAUGCCGGAUUAGCAGUUGGUGAGGUAACGGCUCACCAAGGCGACGAUCCGUAGCUGGUCUGAGAGGACGGCCAGCCACACUGGGGCUGAGACACGGCCCAGACUCCUACGGGAGGCAGCAGGUGGGGAAUAUUGGACAAUGGGCGAAAGCCUGAUCCAGCGACGCCGCGUGUGUGAAGAAGGCCU